CCCUUGUGUGCAAUGCGCAAUGUGCAACGGCAACGGUAUUAUUUCCCGCUAUUCAACGAAUGUUUGUGAAAUUGCGAACCUUGUAUUAUAAGUCUUGUGAAAGCAGUGCUAUUAAUUGCAGUAAUAUAUAAUAAUAGUAAAAGAAUCUUCCACAGUAAUUGAAAUAAUAUUCUUUCGUUAAGAUGGACGAUACUGCAAAACAAGAAUUGUUAUUUAGUAGAAUUAAUAUACAUGACAUAUACAUGAAAAAUUACCGUUAACAAAUUUAUUCUGGGAUAUCUGUCAAAACUUAUGAGACAUUCUAAAGCAGAAUUAUAAAUUGUGGACAAGUUAUUUUUAUUCAAAAUGGCUCCACCGUCAUCGAGACAGAUAUAAAGACACUGUUCGUCAUUCGAGUUUGUUACAUUACUGCAAUAAAAUAAUAAAAAAGUAUAUACACGACAAAAAUGGAAAUGUAGAAAAGGUAACAGCCAGGCCCGGAACAACACGAUCAGAUACAAGAUCACAAUAUAUGCCAAGUCUUCUUGCAACGCUCUGAAAUAUGACUAUCAGCGGUACAAUGCGGUCUUUAUACUCCUGUCAUAAUUUAAGAAACAAAAAUAUUAACAUUUAUAAGAAAUAAUAAAUAUGAAGCUAUAGAUAUAGCAUAAGCUGAUCAUAAUGUAUUAUAUUAUAAACUAUAACUUACGAACUUAAUCAUAAAUAGGUAUUGUCGAAAGAGAUCUGAUUUCAAAGAAUGUACAACUGCGUCAAAGUUUGGUUUAUGCAAGAGUAUAUUGAAAAGAAUAUCUAUAAUCUGUCUUCCCUCGCUGUUGUUCCAUUGAUUUUCAUAGAUAUUAUUGUAUUUCCACCUCGAGAACUGUUCGCGAGAUGCCGAGAAUAUUGGAUGCUUGGGAUUCUCAACUUUAAGGCGCUUUAUAACCUGUUGUGCGAUAUUAUCCAGAUCCAUAUCUAUAUGCGAGCAAGAGACAUUUUUCUCCGGAUGAAUCCAUUGUAUGAUAAAAGUUAUCACCUCUUCCAAUAGCUGGUGUUUGGGAGGGCGAUUUAUAAAUUCCUGCCAUACGGUUUCUAGAUGAUGAUGCCUUAAAUAUGGUAGAAGGAUUCUUCCGUAAUAAAUAUUUGUCAGGAUCCCAUACAGCACAGAUGCUUGCACCAACAUUGCAGCAACGUUGCAACGUUGCAAAU